ensembl:processed_transcript
GCAGCUGCCUUGUUCCUUCCAUGUGAGACAAAGCAAGAAGUGAAUCACAGGCUUUUUGGACAGGGACAGGGAGAGAGCAAGAUGUAGCUAUUAGUGUCUCCUCUUUAUAUGGCAAGCAAGCUGAGGAACCCAUGAAGAGCAAGUCGGAAAGUAUCUUUUGAUACAGAAGCCAGAAAUUCUUCCACGGUUGCUGCCUCUGUUCCUGCUUGAGUUCCUGCCCCGAUUUCCCUCAGGAAGGGCUCUGUAAUCACGAUGUGUAAAGCAAGCAACCCCAUUUCUCUCCAGUUUAAACCACCACCACCACAACAAAGUUCAGCUCCGUAGGCCCUGUUACAACAAAGGCUGCUCUCACAACAGAAAGUACAAGUAGGUGGUCAACUUCAGUGGCAGCUAGCUGUACCAUCUCAGCGGGCACACAAGAUAAACAAGUCUUCAGGGCAUGGCUACCUUCACCUGAAUGCCAAAGAAUGGCCAAGGGUGUCUCAGGACCCAGAAAGGGAACAGUGAAGGUGUAGACUUAAUUAGAGUCACACAGCCCACUCAGACCAUGUCCAGUGGAGCCAUGGGCUCCAUGAGACCUCAGGACAGAAGAGCCAUUAGCAUAUCAUCCCACUGUGAAAGCUACAGGCAUACAAUAUCAACAGAGCCACAAAAAUCAACCCUGGGUGCAAGCCCACCAACCAAGAAGCUCUAGAAGGUGUGACCUCUACUCUGGUGAUCCCAAGAGGCAGAGCCUUGAGACAAAGAUUGUUUUCCAGGUUAAAGACUUUGGACCUUCUGAGAAUGCUUGACUCCUGCCUUCUUGUCUGCUUCUCCCUUUGGACUGGGAAUGCCCAGCUCUUGACUGUCCUGUAAAUGUAGUCAGGACACCUAUAAAAUGUCUGGUUCCGUGGGUUCACAGCUGGAAAGCAACGCACCCCAGGAUAAACAGCACCUCGUACUGUCAUCCAUGGCUGAUUAAGUGAUACUGAGAAAAGACCUCGGAUGGCUGGAAUGUGGGUCUGGAGUGCCUGUCACUGGACUGUUGCAAUCCUAACCUCAAGUGGAUGAUAGGAGAUAAUGGGUCUCUUCUGGGAAGUGACGGAGAGUAGAGACAUCAUCCAUGAGAUCAGUAGAUGAUCAAAGGCCUGGAGCUGCUUGGUCACUUCCACUGUGUGCAGACACAGUGCAAAAGGAACUGUUUGUACACCAUGAAUUAACUUCUCACCAGCCAUGGAAUCUGACAGCACUGUGAUUUGACAUCCCAGCUGACAAAUCGAUCAGAAAUAAAUUCCCAUUUCUAAGCCACUCAGCCUAUUGGAUUUGGGAUUAUAGCAGCCCAAAGUGAUAUAAGACUGUCCCUGCUCCCUCCUCUAAAUGCUUGGCAGGUCACCCCACUACCAACUCAUACAGGGCUGUACCAUAAACAAGAAAUAAAUAUUUUUGUGUCAAACUAC